rnacentral:lncRNA from 1 species
AGGUCCAUUUCGGCUUGUCCUUGGGCUAAUCUUUCAUGUCUUCUUCGUCUUAAUGUUCGCUCGAUUUCAGGGUCUACGGGUAAUAAAUCGAUAAUUCGAUAUACGCUCAUAAACUCCCGAAAAUAAAUCACAAAAAUUAAAGAAUAAAGAAUAAAAAGUAAUUAGUAAAGAUAGAAAUAAAAUAAAAUAAAAUAAAAAACGAAUCACAAAGAAUAAUUUCAAAAAAAUGAU